rnacentral:lncRNA from 1 species
AGCUGCAAACCUCAACCACCAGCCAUGGAGUCGGUGGCCCCCUCACCAUCCUGAUUUCACUGACGACGGCGGCUCGAUCCUCUCCACCCCCACCGGCGGUAGUGGCGCCUCCUCCCCGACCGACGGUUGCUUCCAUGAUCAGCGGCUACGGUUUCCUCAAUCCCAAUGCUGUGACAAUGUCACAAAGGUCAGGUAGCGGCGACACAUCACAUGGGCUGUGCAGCGACCGGCAUGUGUGCGAGGAGGGACGUAGGCGAGAGGAGGGACGUAGGCGACGCACGGACCACAAGCUGUGGAAGAGAGCUUCUUCGAUUUUUUUUUUCAUUCUUUUCUUAUCCGUGUAGUUCCAUAGGAAUUAAAUUGGGUAUACGACAGGCUCCAUGUAUGAUGGUUCCCAAUAGAUUAAUUUUGUUUAGUUUUAAUGAUUUGUCAAACAAUUUUGUCCAAGAAUGAUCCCAGCAACUCCCUCAGCGAGGAGAACGAAGAGCUAGCUAGUAAUAGAUUGAUGAAUAUGGAUGCAAUUUUUAAUAAUUUUUUUAUGGUCGAAGCUAGUUGAAAUGGAUUCAAAUACUCAUCAUGUUCAUGUCUAUACGAAUCUAACUAAUUACUUACGUCUUUAUUCCAACAUUUUAAAGCACUAAUUCUGUUUGCAAAAAUCAAUCAAAAUUAUCACUUGAGUAUUUCCUCAAUUAUUACGAUACUAAAGUGAAACACAUUUAUAAAAUCCCUUUACUGCACUUGGUCCGCGCCAGGAGUCAUUAUUCAAAACAAAUAAAAAUUAAUUAGAAAAAACUUUGACCUGGGGACUCGACGACAGUGAUUUUUUUUGCCAAUUUUACUACUCAUGGUCUGGACAGAAUUAUUUAUAGAUCUAAAUGAUACUUUUAGUAAUAAAAAAAUACCCUGCCUAGAGAUCGGACGUAGACAACCAAUUUUUACUACUCAUGGAUCAAAUACUAUUAGUAAUAAAAAAUACACUGAUAACUAUUGCAACCAAGUUUUACUACUCACCGACCUGA